UACGGAGGGGGCCAGCGUUGUUCGGAAUUACUGGGCGUAAAGCGCACGUAGGCGGCUUUGUAAGUUAGAGGUGAAAGCCCGGGGCUCAACUCCGGAACUGCCUUUAAGACUGCAUCGCUAGAAUUGUGGAGAGGUGAGUGGAAUUCCGAGUGUAGAGGUGAAAUUCGUAGAUAUUCGGAAGAACACCAGUGGCGAAGGCGACUCACUGGACACAUAUUGACGCUGAGGCGCGAAAGCUAGGGGAGCAAACGGG
rnacentral:rRNA from 1 species